UUCCUCUCUGGUUUCCGGCCGCCGCUGGUUCACCGCCGUUCGCCCCCAGUCGACGCUCGUGCUCUGUUUUCCGGCCACCUCUGCCAGCCUCCGUUCCCUCUUCCUUCCUUCCCAUUUUUCAGUUCUGUUUCGGGACACCAGUUUUCGAAAGGCUAGUCGACUCCCUUCAUAGCAUCUGAUUCCUAUACCUCAGCAAGAUGCCUAGAACGAGACCGCCUAGACGACCAUUGACCAGCAGUGGACGGGGUUCCAUCCCUCCACCCAUGUUGGGCACGUUUGAGGUAGUGGAGUCAGAUAUUAUAAGUUACGGUAUUGUAUUAAUUAGCGAGUUU